rnacentral:rRNA from 1 species
CAGCUAGCCCAAUCACCCAAUAACUAAACAAUGUAAAUAAAACAAAAUAAGCCUAACACCAAAAAUUAAAUCAUUCUUUUACCUUAGUAUGGGCGACAGAAAAGGUUACACCUGGAGCAAUAGAAAAAGUACCGCAAGGGAAAGCUGAAAGAGAAGUGAAACAACUUAUAUAAGCACUAAAAAGCAAAGAUUAAAUCUUGUACCUUUCGCAUCAUGAUUUAGCCAGUAUACCCAAGCAAAGAGACCUUUAGUUUGAAACCCCGAAACCAAGUGAGCUACCCCGAGACAGCCUAUUAAGGGCCAACCCGUCUCUGUGGCAAAAGAGUGGGAAGAGCUCCGGGUAGAGGUGACAAACCUACCGAACUUGGUGAUAGCUGGUUGCCUAAGAAAUGAAUAGAAGUUCAGCCUCGUUCUCCCCGAAUCAAAAAGUAAAAAGAUACUAGAGGGAAACAUACGAGAGUUAGUUGAAGGGGGUACAGCCCCUUUAACGAAGGACACAACCUUUCCAGGAGGAUAAAGAUCAUAAUACAUAAGACAUCCUGUUCUAGUGGGCCUAAAGGCAGCCAUCUAAACAGAAAGCGUUAAAGCUCAGACAGAAAUAAGUUUAUUAUUCCGACAAGAAAUCUUACUCCCCUAAUAUUAUUAGGCCAGCCCAUGCCCACAUGGGAGAGACUAUGCUAAAAUGAGUAACAAGAAGGCAAGCCCUUCUCCAAGCACAAGUGUAAGCCAAACCGGACUAACCAUUGGCAAUUAACGAACUCAACCCAAGAGAGCAAUGUGGACUAUAAUAAAACCAGGAAGAACCCACAACCGACCUAUCGUUACCCCCACACUGGUGUGCUAUUAACGGAAAGACUAAAAGAAGGGAAAGGAACUCGGCAAACACAAGCCUCGCCUGUUUACCAAAAACAUCGCCUCCUGCAACACAACCAAGUAUAGGAGGUCCAGCCUGCCCAGUGACUACAAGUUCAACGGCCGCGGUAUUUUGACCGUGCAAAGGUAGCGCAAUCACUUGUCUCUUAAAUAGAGACCUGUAUGAAUGGCUAAACGAGGGCUUAACUGUCUCCCCCCUCCAGUCAGUGAAAUUGAUCU